CUGGGGUGAGGGCGCUGUCCAAGUCCUGACUACAUGCCUGGGCUCAACCCACCUUCCCCACGCACCUCCUUCCUGGUCUUAGAUGUGGGCCCCAGAGCACUCUCCCUCCAGGUCUUGGAGGCCUGCUCCCUCACCUAUCUCAGCUCCAAUGUCACCUCCUCAGAGGGGCCCAGCCCCCAACUAUCUUUACUAAUACAGGCCCCCUUUUGUUGGUUCCUGAGCUGUUCUUGUCACCAUUCCCAACGUGGUACUGGAUGGCCUGUGGGACACACAUUUCCCACAUGGAUGUAUCAGGGCCCCAGGCUGACUUACCAGGAAGCAAAUCUUCUUUAUGCUGAAGGCAUUCUGACAACUUUCCAUUUAGAGCAACUGACACAUUUUACAAGGGCGAGGCCAUUAACAUCCCCAUUUAACAGAAGGGGAAACAGAGUCUCAAAGAUUUGCUCAGGAUACACAGACAGCUUCCUGAAGGCGUCUCUUUAAUGGCAAAACUGGGUUGGACCAGAGGAGUGGGGAGAAGAGCAGUCUAGGGACCAGAGCCGUGGAUUUACCAGUAAUCUUGACAACCUCAGUUUCCAUUUGUAAAAUGGAGAUAGUAAUCCAAGAUCUACCGAACUUUCCCAGUACUAUCUAUUAGUUAUUCAUCAAACCCUCCCAGUGCUCUGAGGCUAUACAAGUUUCAGAGAUUACAUCACUUGGGUGCGGACACACAGCAAGUCAGCCGUACACCCUAAACGCCGACACUGCCUAGUCUGCCUCCGGAACCCAGGAUCGCACGUAAGGGCCAAGACUGCCCUUCGCCUCACGGGGCCGGCGUAGGCAAAAGCUGCGAGAAGGCAAAGUGAGGCGACAGGAGCGGGGACGCCUCCUGGAGAAGAGGCCUA